AUUGAACGCUGGCGGCAUGCCUUACACAUGCAAGUCGAACGGUAACAGGUCUUCGGAUGCUGACGAGUGGCGAACGGGUGAGUAAUACAUCGGAACGUGCCUAGUAGUGGGGGAUAACUACUCGAAAGAGUGGCUAAUACCGCAUGAGAUCUACGGAUGAAAGCAGGGGAUCGCAAGACCUUGUGCUACUAGAGCGGCCGAUGGCAGAUUAGGUAGUUGGUGGGAUAAAAGCUUACCAAGCCGACGAUCUGUAGCUAGUCUGAGAGGACGAUCAGCCACACUGGGAGUGAGACACGGCCCAGACUCCUACGGGAGGCAGCAGUGGGGAAUUUUGGACAAUGGGCGCAAGCCUGAUCCAGCAAUGCCGCGUGCAGGAUGAAGGCCUUCGGGUUGUAAACUGCUUUUGUACGGAACGAAAAGCCCUGGGUUAAUACCCUGGGGUCAUGACGGUACCGUAAGAAUAAGCACCGGCUAACUACGUGCCAGCCGCCGCAGUAA
rnacentral:rRNA from 1 species